GACAGAGGAUGCAAGCGUUAUCCGGAAUGAUUGGGCGUAAAGGCGUCUGUAGGUGGUUUAUUAAGUCUACUGUUAAAGAUCAGGGCUUAACCCUCGGAGCAGGCAAGUAGAAACUAAUAUGGCUAGAGUACGGUAGGGGCAGAGGGAAUUCCCGGUGGUAGCGGGUGAAAUGCGUAGAGAUCGGGAAAGAACACCAACGGCGAAAGCACUCGUGACUGGGCCGAAACUGACACACUGGAGAGACGAAAGCUAGGGGAGCAAAUGGG
rnacentral:rRNA from 1 species